GUGAAGGAACUGAACAAUUGUGGGAACGUAUUUGGGCCGAAAAUGGGUGUGGUACAGAAGCCCAGAAAUGGCACAAGUUCAACAUGAAACAUGGAUUAGAUUUUAACGGGGGAUCAAAUCAAGUCUGGAAGUGUUACAGGAUGGAAGAGUGAGCCUACAGAUGAAAAAACACUGAGAGUGCAUUACCGUAAGGUGUGAGGUAAAUUAAUAGAGUAAUGCAAAUUGCCUAAUGAGAAGUACCAUCUUGUGUUAAUGAAUCCAGUACAACAGCAAUCCUUUAUAGUUCUGUCACAGCUAGAAGCCUCAAAUAAUUCUGCUUCUCUGUCUAAAGAACAACUUGUCCUUUAUGUUCAGAGUGUUGGGGAAACUGGGUACUUAAAUGGCCCUAAAGAUGUUUUAAUUUUGCUGCUAUUGCAGAGAUGAACAUCAUACAUGGACUCUUUAGGUCUUAUCUACCAAAAAAAAUUUUAUCCAAUAGGAAAGGAUUUUCAUGUACUGGGAACACAACUAUCAACAAUGCAAC